UACGGGGGGGCAAGGCGUUGUUCGGAAUCACUGGGCGUAAAGGGCGUGUAGGCGGCUGAAUAAGUGGGAUGUUAAAUCCCCCGGCUCAAACCGGGGACCUGCAUCUCAUACUGUUCAGCUCGAGCACAUCAGAGGAGACUGGAAUUCCCGGUGUAGCGGUGAAAUGCGUAGAUAUCUGGAGGAACACCGGUGGCGAAGGCGGCGUUCUGGACUGUAACUGACACUGA
rnacentral:rRNA from 1 species